AGUGGGAAGAGCGGGGCCUCUGGACCUGCUCCUUGUUCCUGGAGCACGGAGAGCACUGAUGGGCACCCGCCGGGCACAGCCCCUGCAGCACCGAGGUUCAGCCAGCACCGCGACAGGUGCCGGCCUGGUGCAGACUUGGGAGCGCACACUUCAAUGGCUGUUCCCUGGGCAACGGAGUUGCCGCUGCCAGCUGGCUCUGCCCCCAGAGCCCAUCAAAGCACACACCCUGCCAGGAGCCGGCGCAGCAGCCCGUGCGGCCGUCUGUAGGCACCGAUGUCGGUGCGUUGGCAGUCGGGUUUCAAGGUUAAACAUGAGGGAAUGAACGGGAUGACUAACGAGACAGAGACCACAAUCUGGCUUCAGACAGCAAAGUCCUGACAUGUGCAGCCGUGUGGAGGAUGCCGAAGGAAUUGGAAUCAGGCAGCCACGAGUCCCCUGAUGAUUCAUCCAGCACUGCGCAGACCCUGGAGCUGCUCUGUCACCUUGACAACACAGCCCAUGGCAACAUGGCCUGUGUCGUGUGGGAGCCAAUGGGAGAUGGGAAGAAAAUCAUUUCCUUGGCUGAUAACCAUAUCCU
rnacentral:sRNA from 1 species